CCACGCCACACCACACCACACCCAUAUCUUGCAGUCCCCACCCUUUGCGUUUGAAAUACAAAUGCAAAAUCCAAACAAGUAGAAAGAGAGACGAGAGACGAGAGAGAGAGAGAGAGAAUCCAGGAUCUACAUACCCAUUUGUCUCAGCAGAACCAAUCAUGCCAUCAGGUUCAAAGAAGAGAAAAGCUGCAAAGAAAAAGAGGGAAAAGGGCGCCAACAACUCCACAACUCACUCUCAUGGAGAUGAAGAUCUGAAAGUCCAUGAUGAGAAAGAGAGUGAUGGAGGAGAGGCUAACUCUCCUGCAUCACAGGACCACCAUAACCACCAGCAUCGAUUUACUGAGGGAGAAGAGGAGGGGAUGGAGCAGAGAGAGGACAUUUCAUCUGUUAGAUCAAUGGUCACUGAGAGUGAAUCCAUGGUAGGUGUUAACAGCAACGGAGACAGUAGAGAGGAAAUGGCGAUGAAGGAGGACAAUGCUCAAAUUGAUUGGGAGUUGAAGCAUGAGGCUGAUUCUGACAGCAAGAACGGUAGUAUUGAGUAUGUUGAGUCUGUGAAGGAAUCACAUGGUGUACGAAUGUCUCAUGAUGGUGGGAGGUCCAGCAGCAGCAGCAGUAGUUCGGACGAUGAGUCUCAUGUUGUUGAUAAAAACAUAGUGGUGAUAGAGUACAGGGAAUCAAAAGAGGAUGCUCUUAAUUCGGUUGCAGAAUCGGAUGCUUUUGAGGAUGUAGUAAAAAUAGCUCGUUUGCCUGAAAUAACUCCUGUUACUGAUGGUGUUUCGGUUAUUGAUGAUUAUAAUUUGGCUGUGGAUGAGCCAAAAGAAGAGGCAUAUGAUACCCCUUCUGUAAAUUUAGUCAGGCCAGCUGCUUUGCCGGAAGUCACUGAAGUUACUGAUAGUGUUCUGGUUAUGGAUGCUUAUAAUUUGGCUGCGGAUGAGCCGAAAGAACAGUCAUAUGAUGCCCCUUCUGUAAAUUUAGUCGAGCCUGUUGAUUUGCCGGAAGUUGCUCAACUUAAAGAUGAUGUUCCGGUUAUUGAGGCUUACAGUUUGGUUGUUGGGAAGUUGACAGAGGAAACCUAUAAUUCAGUUGUGGAAACUAUCCCUGUUGUUGGGUCAGAGAAUGUAUCUAAAGAGGUGGUUCGUGCAAAUGAUAGUUCAACAGUGGAGAGUGCUAUAUGUUCUAAUUUGCUUGAAUUGGGGUUGAAGGAAAAUGGAAAAAAUGAGACUUUAGGGGUUUUACCAGUUGUGAUGGAUAUGGGAUCACAACCAAAGAAGGAUAAUGUGAUUUCGACAGCAGUUGAGAGUUCUGCAGUUUCUUCUGUUGCAACGGCCUCUUCAGCACGAGUGGAUGAAGACAAACUGUUUCCGUCAUCCAGUGUUCCAGCAGUUGACAAUAGUAAUGGUGCAGACCUUAUAAAAGAUUCUGUGAUUACUGAAGCCUCUGAUAGCCAGCCUUUGGUAGCGUCGGCCCCACGACCAGUGCAAACACCAUUCUGGAAGAGUUGUUGUGGACUGUUGGAGGUGUUUGCAGGCUCCAAUAGAUAAUUACAGAAUUCGGAGUUAUGCAUUUAUAAAAAUGGAUGAAAAGAAGUUUAUGAGGCCAUUUAGUAGCUGAGGCAGAAACAGAGCAUGGAGAAGAGCUGGAGUGGACUGGUGAAGCUACUGGAACUUGAAGGAGUUGGGUCAUGGAAGUGUGUAACUCUCUACUCUCAAGUUUCUUUAAUAAUGGUCAAUGGGCCUCAUAUAUAAACAAUCUUGAGAUUUUCUGUAAAUGUUAGUGUUAUUUAAGAAAGCAACUGAAGUCAGUUUUUUGAAUACUGCUUUUCAGUUGAUUUUGCAGUGGCAAGUGUUUUUCCUUUUUGUUGGUGUGCUAUAUCUUUGUGUUGGAUGGGAAAGUUUUCAAAAUUCAGAAUUAGGUUUCGGUUUUAUAUCAUUGUUUGCUUUGUCUC